rnacentral:rRNA from 1 species
AACGAACGCUGGCGACAUGCCUAACACAUGCAAGUCGAACGAGAUCUUCGGGUCUAGUGGCGCACGGGUGCGUAACGCGUGGGAAUCAGCCCUUUGGUUCGGAAUAACAGUUGGAAACGACUGCUAAUACCGGAUGAUGACGAAAGUCCAAAGAUUUAUCGCCAGAGGAUGAGCCCGCGUAGGAUUAGCUAGUUGGUGUGGUAAAGGCGCACCAAGGCGACGAUCCUUAGCUGGUCUGAGAGGAUGAUCAGCCACACUGGGACUGAGACACGGCCCAGACUGCUACGGGAGGCAGCAGUGGGGAAUAUUGGACAAUGGGCGAAAGCCUGAUCCAGCAAUGCCGCGUGAGUGUUGCAGGCCUUAGGGUUGUAAAGCUCUUUUACCCGGGAUGAUAAUGACAGUACCGGGAGAAUAAGCUCCGGCUAACUCCGUGCCAGCCGCCGCAGUAA